GGCCCAAAUUUGAAGUAAAGUAGAUUAGUAGGGUUGUCCCACCCUACUGAAGUACUCUACUUCAGGUUUGUGCCC
rfam:Haemonchus contortus, ISE/inbred ISE, WGS project CAVP01000000 data, contig: Hcontortus_22728